rnacentral:rRNA from 1 species
CCCUGAUGUUAGCGGCGGACGGGUGAGUAACACGUGGGUAACCUGCCUGUAAGACUGGGAUAACUCCGGGAAACCGGGGCUAAUACCGGAUGGUUGUUUGAACCGCAUGGUUCAAACAUAAAAGGUGGCUUCGGCUACCACUUACAGAUGGACCCGCGGCGCAUUAGCUAGUUGGUGAGGUAAUGGCUCACCAAGGCGACGAUGCGUAGCCGACCUGAGAGGGUGAUCGGCCACACUGGGACUGAGACACGGCCCAGACUCCUACGGGAGGCAGCAGUAGGGAAUCUUCCGCAAUGGACGAAAGUCUGACGGAGCAACGCCGCGUGAGUGAUGAAGGUUUUCGGAUCGUAAAGCUCUGUUGUUAGGGAAGAACAAGUACCGUUCGAAUAGGGCGGUACCUUGACGGUACCUAACCAGAAAGCCACGGCUAACUACGUGCCAGCAGCCGCGGUAAUACGUAGGUGGCAAGCGUUGUCCGGAAUUAUUGGGCGUAAAGGGCUCGCAGGCGGUUUCUUAAGUCUGAUGUGAAAGCCCCCGGCUCAACCGGGGAGGGUCAUUGGAAACUGGGGAACUUGAGUGCAGAAGAGGAGAGUGGAAUUCCACGUGUAGCGGUGAAAUGCGUAGAGAUGUGGAGGAACACCAGUGGCGAAGGCGACUCUCUGGUCUGUAACUGACGCUGAGGAGCGAAAGCGUGGGGAGCGAACAGGAUUAGAUACCCUGGUAGUCCACGCCGUAAACGAUGAGUGCUAAGUGUUAAGGGGUUUCCGCCCCUUAGUGCUGCAGCUAACGCAUUAAGCACUC